CCCCAUUGCUUCCAGCGCUCAAUUCCCCGGUCAUUCUCAUAUGUUGCCUAUGACCUCUCCUUAGCCUUUCUCUUCUACUACAUUGCCACCUCCUAUUUCAGCCUCCUUCCUAGCUGGCUCACUUACCUUGCCUGGCCCCUAUACUGGACUCUCCAAGGCUGCACUCUCACUGGUGUUUGGGUCAUUGCCCAUGAGUGUGGCCACCAUGCCUUCAGUGACUACCAGUGGCUUGAUGACACAGUUGGGCUCAUCCUCCACUCCUCACUCUUAGUCCCCUACUUCUCUUGGAAGAUCAGCCACCGCCGCCACCACUCCAACACAGGGUCACUGGAACGUGACGAGGUCUUCGUGCCAAAGCCCAAAUCCAGAAUUCCCUGGUUUUCCAAAUACUUGAACAACCCAUUAGGCCGAGCCCUCACCCUUGUCAUUACUCUCACCCUUGGCUGGCCAUUGUACUUAGCCUUCAAUGUGUCUGGCCGCCCCUAUAAUCGCUUUGCAUGCCACUAUGAUCCUUAUGGCCCAAUAUACUCUGACCGUGAGCGGCUUCAAAUCUACAUCUC
rnacentral:lncRNA from 1 species